rnacentral:rRNA from 1 species
UACGGAAGGCAGCAGUGGGGAAUAUUGCACAAUGGGCGCAAGCCUGAUGCAGCCAUGCCGCGUGUAUGAAGAAGGCCUUCGGGUUGUAAAGUACUUUCAGCGAGGAGGAAGGCAUUAAGGUUAAUAACCUUAGUGAUUGACGUUACUCGCAGAAGAAGCACCGGCUAACUCCGUGCCAGCAGCCGCGGUAAUACGGAGGGUGCAAGCGUUAAUCGGAAUUACUGGGCGUAAAGCGCACGCAGGCGGUCUGUCAAGUCGGAUGUGAAAUCCCCGGGCUCAACCUGGGAACUGCAUCCGAACUGGCAGGCUAGAGUCUUGUAGAGGGGGUAGAAUUCCAGGUGUAGCGGUGAAAUGCGUAGAGAUCUGGAGGAAUACCGGUGGCGAAGGCGGGCCCCUGGGACAAAGCUGACGCUCAGGGUGCGAAAGCGUGGGGAGCAAACAGGGAUUAGGAUAACC